AGCGAACGCUGGCGGCAGGCCUAACACAUGCAAGUCGAGCGCCGUAGCAAUACGGAGCGGCAGACGGGAGAGUAACACGUGGGAACGUACCCUUUGGUUCGGAACAACCCAGGGAAACUUGGGCUAAUACCGGAUAAGCCCUUACGGGGAAAGGAUUUAUCGCCAAAGGAUCGGCCCGCGUCUGAUUAGCUAGUUGGUGGGGUAACGGCCCGACCAAGGCGACGAUCAGUAGCUGGUCUGAGAGGAUGAUCAGCCUCACUGGGACUGAGACACGGCCCAGACUCCUACGGGAGGCAGCAGUGGGGAAUAUUGGACAAUGGGCGCAAGCCUGAUCCAGCCAUGCCGCGUGGGUGAUGAAGGCCCUAGGGUUGUAAA
rnacentral:rRNA from 1 species